GGGGGGUAAUAUCCCUUGUCCAGGCAGAGGCAGGGAACUACAUUGUUCCUUUCCAUUGUAUGCCUCACAGGCUUGAUCUGGCUCUGUUGUCAGUGCAAAAGGAAAACCCAAUGAUUGGGAAAGUUUACAACCUCCUCAAUAUGGUUUGGAAAACAUACCAUUUCAGCAGCAAAUCCAUGAGGGAGCUGAGGGUCCUUGGGGAAGACCUAGGCAUAAGAGUGAAUUCCCCAAGUGGAGUAAAAGGAACGCGCUGGCUACCACAUGUGUCUAGAUCUUUGGAGACACUGUUAAAACUGGAGAGAGAGGAGGUUAUCUUCAGGACCCAGGACAGUUUACUGCAGUCUAUGUGCACAUGGACCACUUGGCCAGUGCAUCAGCAAACACAGACAUUGCUGGAAGGGCCAAAAAGAUCAAGAAGACUAUGGAGGAUGGAACUUUUGUAGCCUUCAUUCAAGUCAUUCUACCCCAGGCUGUCAGUGGGGUUCAAAACCUCAUUGUGAACAUUGAAACAAUGGCAGUGAGACCCAAACCAGGAGGAAGACUCCAGCAACUUGUAACAGACAUGCAGCAGCAAGGAAUGGCACACACAGAAUGAAGUACCAUUCUACAAGUUUCAGGAUGUCCCACUUUCGUAUUGUGAAGCCACAGUGCUGGCAGAAAAUGAGAGCAUCUACAUCAAAUCUCCACAACUGCAUCAGGGAGUAAAAGAUACUGUGAAUUCCACCAUUAAGCACCUUCAAAACAGAUUUGGUAGCCUUUUAGGUAAUAAGAUUUUCUUUAUUGGACAUUCUGCAGUAUCAAAAGUAUUAAAAUUAUUA